UCUCACAACACAGGCGGAAAGAAAAUCUUCUAGAGACAGCUGCUUAAAGAAGCCUUCAAAACUCCAGUCUGUCAAGCAUUCAACACCCUCCUACAUUGAGAACAUGGAGGAACAUGGUACCAAAACUCUUCAGAGUCAGACUCGGUCCAGGAACAGGCAUGACUGAAUGAGAAACAAAACAAACAGCUGUAUGUCCUAGCCAGCCACAAAAUCAGGGGCCGAGUCCAGAUGUCCUAACUUGGAAUUCUGGCAAGCCUAUCACAUCCCCUGGAGAUGCGGGAAGGCAGAAGAAAACUCCUUGGCGCUUGCUGCCUUGAAUCCUUGAAUCUCAACACAUCUUUCAUGUGUCCUCUGGGAUUCCAGAAAGAUCAACGUAACGACAUGCUUUUCCAAGCCACUGACAGACGAGACGGAUCAGAGCCUUCAGAGACCCUCCAACAUUUGGAGGCACUCACAUGGACCGAAAGCCAAGUUCUGUCUUCUCAAAGAUGCUCCAAGUGGAAUUUGGAGAGGUAACCAGUUCCCAUUGUGUGGAAAAAAAUAGAACAUUUAUUAAAACCACUAAGAAAU
rnacentral:sRNA from 1 species